rnacentral:lncRNA from 1 species
UUCUUUUCUCUCACUUUGAACCCAGACCUUCUUUGAACAUCAUUCGAAUCUCAGCCUCAGCAAACUCAUACCCAUCGAACCCCAUAUCUCCCAUGUCAUCAUCUCACUCUCAACGAUAAGAUACAAAACAUCAUUUGCUGGAGUCCACAAAUGCCGAACUCUCUCCCUAGUCCCUAACCUCAUACCUUCAUCGAUCUAUCCCUCACCUAACCCAUCAUUUGAACGCUCUCUCUCUCUCUCUCUCCCUCGUUGAACUCUAAUUGAAUCAAUUGAUUGAAACCCCCAUCUUUCAGAAAUCAAUUGAACCCUAAUUUGAUUAAUCAAAUUCUAUGUGAGGCAAGUGGUGAACACAAUCUUCCAUUCAUAAGAAGGGAUGUUUGGUGUGAAAUAACCUGCAGAAUUUUGCAGUAGUGGAUCAGAUUUGUGUUGUUUUGUUGUCUCGGUUCUGUUUUGGGGUGGGAGUGAUCUAGAAUUGCUUGUGUUGUUUCGUCGUUUGGAGUCAAUUGAGGGUUUCAAUUGAGUUGGUUUUCUGAUCUUCCAGUAGUAUUGGUUCGAGGACAGCGAAUUCGGGUUAUGAUCCUCCAGAUUGCGCUGCUACUACUGAACUGCUGCGGCUUUGAGCUUUUGCUGCGGUUCUGCUACUCCUAAUUGCUACUGCUGUUGUGCGCUGCAUCUGCUGUACCACUGAUUUGCGCUUCUGCUGCUGUUCCUAUUCGCUGCUACAGUCUGCUUCCUCAUCUCCUUCCAUUUCGUUACAAACUCAUUGUGUUACAGUCCCGUCCAAACUAUUUUCUUUGUCGGUUUUAAAGCAAUAUCACUACUCGUUGUAGUGCAUACUUUGGAAAUGUGUCUUUCU